CAGCAGGUGGGGAAUUAUUGCGCAAGUGGGCGAAAGCCUGACGCAGCCAUGCCGCGUGUGUGAAGAAGGCCUUAGGGGUUGUAAAGCACUUUCAAUAGGGAGAAAACGCCUGUAGUUUAAUAGCUGCAGGACUUGAUGUUUACCUAUAGAAGAAGCACCGGCUAACUCCGUGCCAGCAGCCGCGGUAAUACGGAGGGUGCGAGCGUUAAUCGGAAUUACUGGGCGUAAAGCGCGCGUAGGCGGUUUUUAAGUCGGAUGUGAAAUACCCCGGGCUCAACCUGGGAACUGCACUCGAUACUGGAAAACUAGAGUACGGAAGAGGGAGGUAGAAUUCCACGUGUAGCGGUGAAAUGCGUAGAUAUGUGGAGGAAUACCAGUGGCGAAGGCGGCCUCCUGGUUCGAUACUGACGCUGAGGUGCGAAAGCGUGGGGAAGCAAACAGGAUUAGAUACCCUGGUAG
rnacentral:rRNA from 1 species